GCUUCUCGCUGGUGAUUGAGGGAGAUGCUGUCCAAUUCCAAAAGCCUGCACUGGCUUGGACACAGCACUGCUAAUAAAGCCGCUUCUUACUGUUCGGCCAUUCCUUACUUUACCUCAUUUGGUUAAACCACAAGCUCAGUGCUUGGAACUUCCGUUUUCUUAUCUUGAACAUCGCGUACUGUUCCAGCUCACAGCCAGCCACCCAGGAAGGAAGCGUUUUGUUCCUUUUAGACAGAGGCCCUGGCCGGCCACAUGGCCACGCUGUUGAAAAGCUCUAAAUUUUCCGACGAGCUCUGGGACCCUUAGCAGGGGAGACUGGAAACAGACAAGCUGGACCUCUGCCUGUAUGGCGAUUUCUGAGAUGCUAAGAAGUCCUCAAUUUCUUCUCCUUUGAUAGACUACCCAAUAUUUGAGCUGCUACCGUUAUGAGUUUCACGCGUAUUUUAUGAGUUAAAAGAAGAAAGCAGGACCAUUUUGGGUACGGGCCGAGGCAAGAGUUCCUGUUGCUUUGGAUUCUGACUUCUGGGUCUGAAUUGAGGGCAGGUCCUCCAGGAACUCCAAGCCUCAGAAGUCGCAGGAUUGGAGGGUGGACUUCUCUCCGCUGGAAAAGACUCUUGGGCCAGGCAAAUGCUGGAAGACACCAAGACCUGAUACUAACAGCUAAUACUCACUUAGAACUUCCCUGGGCCAAGCACUAUCCUGAAAUUUCAAGUACAUAUGCAUGUACCCUCCGACCCCAUGUGGGAGGGAGAAAUUCAGCAUUUGUACUUUUUGUUUGGGGCUCUAAUCACUGGAACAAACUCGAGAAAAGAAAACAGAGCCCAGAGGAAUGAGGAAUAAUUUACAGUUAAGCCCAUGAAGAUGAAAGGGAGAGAGCAAAGAGGGAAUUCAGGACUUCGCAAGAGUUCAGCCUGACCUGCUCCCCAGUCUUGUUGACGUCCUGACGAAGCUGAAUGUCGC
rnacentral:lncRNA from 1 species